UAUUGUUUUCCAGGGAUGUGGCUAUCUGACUUGACAAGGAAUCGAUAUGAGGUCAGGGAGAAGAAAUGUGUGAAGAAGCAAAAGAGAAGGGGACUCAAGGGAAUGGACAGCAUCGACAGUGAUUCCGAGUAGCCAUCUUUUUAUUUUCAUUCCCCUAAAUUGUAUAAUUAUUCAAAAUUAUUAUAGAAAAUAAAAACAAAAAGUGUGAGAAAUUCAAAAAUCAAAUACCGUUACCCGGUCUGGGAGUAAGGGCCCACGCACUACCUUUUCGUAGUCCACCUGCCCUUGCUUUGUAGGAUACAGUGUCCCUGCCGUCGAUGUCGAUGAUGAUGGUUUUUGUCAUUCGGAGGAUCAACGGCUGAGAUGUUCUUCUUGAGCUCAUGGGGUGGUUAUGAGAUUUUAGACCUCGGGGUAAGGGCAUUUUGGUCAGCAGGGGUCACUGACUGGAAAAGUGAGAAGUGUACGUGCCUUUUUGACUCGGUCUGUCUGUGACUCAGUGGACGCCACCCAACUCGGCAAUUAGAUAAACUAGAAUUUUCUUUUUCUUUCUCAAAUGUGUUUUUUAUUUUUAUUUUUAUUUAAAUUUAUUGGUUUCUGUCAUCGAUUAAUUGCUGUUGGCUAUAAAUAUCUUUUGGAGUUUUUUCAUGCUAAUCUCGUGUGCAAAGCUUGCUUCUGUAUUUCUCCCUUCAAUAACAACGCUGUUUCACUUUU